rnacentral:rRNA from 1 species
UGCGCAGGCGGUUAUAUAAGACAGAUGUGAAAUCCCCGGGCUCAACCUGGGAACUGCAUCCGAUACUGGAUGGCUUGAAUUCGGGAGAGGGAUGCAGAAUUCCAGGUGUAGCGGUGAAAUGCGUAGAUAUCUGGAGGAAUACCGGUGGCGAAGGCGGCAUCCUGGACCGACAUUGACGCUGAGGAGCGAAAGCCAGGGGAGCAAACG